CCAUUUUUCCCAUGGCUUUACAGUAUGAAGGGCGGUGUUUGAGAUGUAGGAAUAAAAUAGUAUGAUAGUUGCUGAUAUAUAUACAUAUAUUAAUAAUUAAUAAAAAUGUUUUAUCUAAAUCCUGUAAAUUUCAUGAAUAUAUAUAUAUUGGUUUAUCUGUUGCGAGUUUUUAUAAAAGCACAUGGGAUUUUUAAAGAAAACGCAAAGAGGUGGCACAAGAAUCUUUAUCAGUACCAUUACACCAAGAUGUCGAAUACUCUUAGAGAAAUGUUAUACUGGGGGACUCCGUCUUCGCUUGUGUUAUUUAGUGACAGAAACACAUCACAAAAAUUUUAUCACAACUUCGUUUGGAACUCGGAUCCCAAUUGCAUUUUUAAAUGUUAAAAAACUAAAUGCAUCAAUUUAACAC